AGUGAACGCUGGCGGUAGGCCUAACACAUGCAAGUCGAACGGCAGCACAGUAAGAGCUUGCUCUUACGGGUGGCGAGUGGCGGACGGGUGAGGAGUACAUCGGAAUCUACUUUUUCGUGGGGGAUAACGUAGGGAAACUUACGCUAAUACCGCAUACGACCUACGGGUGAAAGCAGGGGAUCUUCGGACCUUGCGCGAUUGAAUGAGCCGAUGUCGGAUUAGCUAGUUGGCGGGGUAAAGGCCCACCAAGGCGACGAUCCGUAGCUGGUCUGAGAGGAUGAUCAGCCACACUGGAACUGAGACACGGUCCAGACUCCUACGGGAGGCAGCAGUUGGGAAUAUUGGACAAUGGGCGCAAGCCUGAUUCAGCCAUACCGCGUGGGUGAAGAAGGCCUUCGGGUUGUAAAGCCCUUUUGUUGGGAAAGAAAAGCAGCAGGUUAAUACCCCGCUGUUCUGACGGUACCCAAAGAAUAAGCACCGGCUAACUUCGUG
rnacentral:rRNA from 1 species